UACAGAGGUUCCAAGCGUUGUUCGGAUUCAUUGGGCGUAAAGGGCGCGUAGGCGGCCUGGCGCGUCGGCUGUGAAAUCUCCCGGCUCAACUGGGAGGGGACGGCCGAUACGGCUGGGCUUGAGGGAGGUAGGGGAGAGUGGAAUUCCCGGUGUAGUGGUGGAAUGCGUAGAUAUCGGGAGGAACACCAGUGGCGAAGGCGGCUCUCUGGACCUCUCCUGACGCUGAGGCACGAAAGCGUGGGGAGCAAUCCGG
rnacentral:rRNA from 1 species